rnacentral:rRNA from 1 species
GGGUUGUGAGGUUAAGCGACUAAGCGUACACGGUGGAUGCCCUGGCAGUCAGAGGCGAUGAAGGACGUGCUAAUCUGCGAUAAGCGUCGGUAAGGUGAUAUGAACCGUUAUAACCGGCGAUUUCCGAAUGGGGAAACCCAGUGUGUUUCGACACACUAUCAUUAACUGAAUCCAUAGGUUAAUGAGGCGAACCGGGGGAACUGAAACAUCUAAGUACCCCGAGGAAAAGAAAUCAACCGAGAUUCCCCCAGUAGCGGCGAGCGAACGGGGAGGAGCCCAGAGCCUGAAUCAGU